rnacentral:tRNA from 1 species
GCACCCGUAGCUCAACUGGAUAGAGUGUCGGCCUCCGAAGCCGAAGGUUGCGCGUUCGACCCGCGCCGGGUGCA